GACGAACGCUGGCGGCGUGCCUAAUACAUGCAAGUCGAACGCAGUGGGGACGGGUGAGUAACACGUGGGUAACCUCCCAUCAGAGGGGAGAACACUUGGAAACAGGUGCUAAACCGAUACUGAUGGAUGGACCCGCGGUGCAUUAGCUAGUUGGUGAGGUAACGGCUCACCAAGGCCACGAUGCAUAGCCGCCCGUAGAGGGUGAUCGGCCACACUGGGACUGAGACACGGCCCAGACUCCUACGGGAGGCAGCAGUAGGGAAUCUUCGGCAAUGGGCGAAAGUCUGAUGGAGCAACGCCGCGUGAGUGAAGAAGGUUUUCGGAUCGUAAAACUCUGUUGUUAGGGAGGCGGUAUCUAACCAGGAAGCAACGGCUAACUACGUGCCAGCCGCCGCGGUAAUAC
rnacentral:rRNA from 1 species